rnacentral:rRNA from 1 species
AUGUAUGACAGAAAAAAAAUUCGUUCGGCCCAAAAUGUCACGGAUGUGUCUUUUUUUUGUAGUGAUGUGUGCUUUCAGGCUUGCAAGAGAGGUUUCAUAGAAGGGUGCAGGAAAGUUGUGGGAUUGGAUGGUUGCUUCUUUAAGGGGGCUCAAAGUGGAGAACUAUUGUGUGCUCUUGGAAGAGAUGCAAAUGGGCAAAUGUAUCCCAUUGCUUGGGCUGUUGUUGAAGUAGAAAAUAAGGACUCCUUGUUCUGGUUUAUGGCAUUGUUAAAUAAAGACUUGGAGAUUGCAAAUCAAGGUGAAGGAUGGGUGUUCAUGUCAGAUCAAUAGAAAGGUCUUAUCAAUGCUAUCUCCAAGGUUGUACCAAAUGCUGAAAAUAGAAAUUGUGCUAGGUACAUUUAUGCUAACUGGAAGAAAAAGCAUAGGGAUCAAUCAUACCAGAAGAGAUUUUGGGCUUGUGCAAAAUCCUCAAAUAGAGUACAAUUCAACUUAAACAGAGGAAAGCUUGCUUAGCUCACACCAGAUGGAGCAAAAGAUAUGGUACAGUUAGGUCCAGAGCAUUGGUGUAGAGCAUGGUUCAGAGAAGGAUCAUGUUGUGAUUUAGUAGACAACAAUAUGUGUGAAAGCUUUAACAACUGGAUAGUAGAAUACAGAGGACCUCCUAUUAUCAGAAUGUUUGAAGCAAUUAGAGCAAAUGUGACAGUAGGGAUUCAAGUGAACAGAGCUAUGCCUGUUAAAUGGAAUGGAACAAUUUGUCCAAAAAUCCUCAAAAAAGUGAAAAAGUUGAUACAACUAACUGAGAAGUGUGAGACAAUAUGGAAUGGGAAAGAUGGAUAUGAGAUGAAGUUAGGACAGCAUGCAUGCAAAGUUGACAUGCAAGCUAGGACAUGUUCUUGUAGAUAUUGGCAAUUGUUAGGAAUUCCAUGUGUUCAUGCUCUUGCAGCUUCACAAUGUGGUCCUGGUGACAUUGAAUCACUUAUUGCACCUUGCUACAACAUUGAGGCCUAUAACAGGACCUAUGAACACUGCAUGAUGCCAAUGGAGGGCAUGCCUAGCUGGCCAAUAGCUGACAGACCAAGGCCUUUAGUUCUAGACUAUGUGCAAAUGCCUGGGAGACCAAGGACAGAGAGAAGGAGGGGAAGUGAUGAGCCUCCUAAACAUGCACACAAACUAUCUAAGAUUGGGACAAAGAUCAAGUGUAGUCUAUGUGGGCAACCUGGGCAUAACAUGAAGAAAUGCAAUACAAACCCCAACAAAGGAAAGUACAUGAAUAAGAAGAGGAAAAAGGAAACAAAAGUGUGUAAAUGA